UCCUCCUGAUGAAGAUCUAAACUGCUGUUUACAGACUGAAGGCAGCCAAGUGCUACAAGACUUCCCUCCGGAGCGUGUCGCGUGGACCUGAGCUGCAUUUCCAUCUUGUGAUCUUUCUGAUCCCAGCACUUUUGGAACUCCAGAGAGCACAGAUGGGUUUUUCUUACCCUGGGAAAAAGUGAAGAGCAGAGAGGAAGGACACUCAACAUGAGCCAAGGGAGGAGUCCCCAAAGCAGCCCACAGCAUGGAGCACCUCAGUACAGCUCAGGAGCAUGGCAGAGUUGAGUAAAGUCAUGCCACUGCCAUCACCAGCAUACUUUCUGAGGUAUAUCUGACUCAUGAAUUCAGUGCAAGUUGCUACAGGUUUUCUCCAAAUUCCUGUUAAACUGUUUCAAAAAAAAAAAGAAAUUCUCUGUCCCUUUGCCAAGGAGGUAUUUAUUGAUAUUUAUGCGUUUCUUUCUCCUCCUUCAUGUGCUAAUGUUACCCUGUGGAGACCCAGGAACUCCUCUCCUGCCUGCUGAUGCAUGUGCCAUGCGAAUGGGUGAUUCAAAACCUUUCAAAAACUAUGUUCUCAGUCAUUUGUUCCCCAUCUGCAGACAGAAACUCCAACCAUGCUGCAGGUUAUUGCAGAUGCUGAACUUGUGCAAGAUGUGGUUCUUCUCCAGCAUCUUCAUUCACAGUGCUCCUGUGAGAGGAGUGGGGUGAAUAUGGAUAAAGGACUACAAAGCUGGUCAAGAGCUUGGCAGUAAAUAGAGCACCAGAUCCAGUGGUACUUCUGAGAGCCAGCACAGAGCAUUGUAAUGUAGGACCUUGGUGUAAACACUAUCUGCUGGUGAUUAGAGGUCAUCCUGCAGUUCUCCUUUCACCAGAGCAUAAAUACAAGCAUGGGUGCUGCAGAUGUCCUUUCAGGAUUGGACGGGCUGGGUUUAAGCUGGCUAGGGGCAAUGUGCAUCUUUGGACCAGGAGUAACAGGAAUUCUGCAGAAAAGGAAGUUUCAAGAUGAGCUCUAUGUAAAAGAUCAUACAAGAUAAGCAAAGAAUGGAAGGAAAGAAACCGGUGAAGCUCACCGUUGCAGAAGCUGUCAGCUGAAUCAGCUGUGCUGCGCUGCAGCACACAUCCACAGUAGCCAUGCGGAUGUUCCUCACUUCAGAAAGCAAUCCCUACAGUUAUUUCUUCAGUAAAUUUGUUUUUUGGAUGUGGACAGCGGCACUUCACCACGCUGCUGUGCAUGCGGGAGGGACAUGAUCUGCAAAGCUUCUUCCCUGCCGUGCAAUAACACCGAGCGCCUCAUGGAAACGAGCCCAUUUCCCAUUAACAGCAGGACCUGAACAAAACCAGCAAGGCAGCGACAGCCCAUUCAUUCCAGAGCCCUUCUCCAUCCCCACUCUGGAUUGCUACAGGCUAGAGCACAAACAAGAGAGUCACAACCUAUUGGUAGUUCCACGCAGUUCGAGCUAAUGCACUGCUCUUCCUCUGGAGAAACACAACUUCAAAUUCGCAUGCAAUUCACGAAAUUAAAAUGAACAGAGAGGUGUGUUGCUUUGGACCUGGGUGGUGACUCACCAAAACAUAACAGGCAUUUAAACACCACAUGCACACACACAAUCAAGGGCACUAAGAAAUUUUACAUAAAUGGCUUGGCGUUGUUUUCCCUCAGUAAAGAAAGGGACAGCCCGGUGACAGAUGACAGUGCUGGCUGUGUUAUUGAAGAAUAUCCACAAUGCCUGGAGCUGACAUUACGAUGGCCGAAAGCACUGAGUACCACUGAUUCCCAUCCUGGUUGUACACACUGUAAUUUGCUGUAACAUUGGAUGAGGCUGACCCUGACUUCAGCACUGUGCACCACAGUUGAAGAGGAAUUUGCACAGUGGAGGCCAGUUUGUAUUUACACACAUUAGUGCUCAAAUCACCACCUGGCACAGCACAGUGAGAGGAUGAACAGCACAGUAAUUGAGAAGUGUGCCCAGCAACAUGUACUUGUUACAGGUGCUCUUGAAGGGUUAGAGCUCGCUUCAUUUCCACAGCCCACAGCAAGCCUGACUGCUUCAAGCUCUUCUCACAGGAUGGGGAUCACGGAGCAGCCUCAAGUGGCACAUUUUGUUCUCAGUAUGGGUAUGCAUCCUUUGGGUCUCAGGGCCUCUGCCCAAAGGCUUUCUGCCUCGCAGUCAAUUAAGAGAAGGUGCAAAAUACCAGAGAAAUGGCACAUCGUAGCAAUUAUGAUAAACAAAGUAUAUAGCCAACUACUUUAAAAGCAGACUUUGAAAUGCCACUGGCUUGCUUCGUUCUGAGCACAUUCCCAGGGAGAAUGUCAGGUCACAUAACUCAUCUGUAAUCUUUACAUAGAGGAUCUCAACUAAGCAGCAGCCAUCAUAAAAAUAACCAACAUUUCUUUUUGUGGAAAACAAACAUAAAAGAAAAACGCAACAUCUCUCUUACACACAAAAAACAAAAGGGCAGUUAGCACUUCAAAGAUUACUGGCUGUAAAUAGCAGUGCCAAUGCACUGGGGAGCUGUGCUCCUCUUUAGCGACAGCCCUACUUACUCCCACGGAGGCAGCGAUGUUACAGGCCUUUCCUGUGCUGCAUCGUGCAUUCAUUUAGAGUGUGCUCUUUGCAUUUUAUUUCCCUCGGUGCCUUAAAAAUACCAAGAUUUGCAGUAGUGUAAGAACAACCUUUCAAUCUAGCCUCAUAUACAGCAUUUCAAUCUAGCCGAUGGGGAGUGUUGGAAGAAAAUUGCUGUGUAGUAGCCAAGAACCCCCUCUCACAUUUCUCUAUCAUCCACAGCUAGAUUCUUGCAUUUACAGCUAGCCAUUUUAAUUAUAUCUAAAUAUUUAUCUCCAAGGUGGCUAUAUUAGUUGGUCUUUAAUUGGAGCGGUGCAAACACACGAUGGCUGGGUGCUCUCAUUUGCCUGUGUGCAUGGAACAAAAGAUGCUGUACUCAAUUACACAGCAAACGUCCGCAGGUACCUCUGAGACAUCCUACAUGCCACACUAAGCCUGUGCUUCACGUGCUUAAACAGCUCUCUCUAUUGCUUUAUAGGAAGGGAGGGAAGAAGGGAAAGAGUUUUUGUUUUGUUUCUAAACCUCAUUUACAGUUGUACAGCUAAAGCUUGAAGAUUAAUAAUAAAAGUGCAUAUGCGACAAUGCAGAAAUAAAUGCCGUUCCGUGUUAAAUACAAAGCAAGAAGCAAAUUUAUUUUUUCUGUUAAUUAACCAGGCUUUCAUCUCAACUGCUCUGAUCUGUAAAUAAAGCUACUUUCAAACCAGCCAAGGAAUUAGGCAAUAAAGCAAAACAAACUCACCCAAAAUACUCCAACCCAAGAGCCUCCUAACAUGGGUUAGCUAAUUAUGUUUGCCAUUUCCUAUUCAAGGAGGACUUCAACAGAACUUCCUAAUUGAAACAGGUUAAAAGCAACAGUAUUCUGUUGGCAGCCUCAGGGUGAGCACCACCAAAUGCUCCCAAGCACUGCCAAAGAGCAAAGGGCAUCCCCAGAUAUUCUGAAAGGGGAGAUAAGUGGAAGGGAGGAUGGACAGACAGGCAGAAGUGGGAGAAGAAAGAACGAAUGACUGAUCCCUACCAUUAAUAUUACAUCCUCCUGCAGCUAU